rnacentral:misc_RNA from 1 species
GCAAUUCAGAAGUAGCUAUAGAUUAUUAAAUAUAUUAAAUUUAUAUAAAUAGUCAAGAAGUACUAACACUGCCAGACAUGAUAAUUUGCUUUCAGUAUAAAGUAGAAGUUAGUUCAAUAAAAAAAAUUCACACAGAAUGACAGAAAUCAGAUGAAUAGUUGAAUAAUGUUAUUUUCAAGAACAUAUUUAUGCAAGUGGCAAUUCAUUAUCGUUUGCAUAUGGAAGAAGAAGUUGAUACUUUGCUGCAUAAACAGAAAUAAUAAUAAUAAAACGCUUACUAUUUGCUCACUUUUUGGGCUUUCACAACUUAGUUAUCUAUUUGUCUUGUGUUAGGAGAGGGCCAUGUGAUCAUGCUAAGUUAAAUCAAAUCAACUUCAAACCAAGCAUGUGGCUUAGGACACAGGACAACCAAUG